GAACAACACAGUACUACCCUGAACACGCCCGAUCUCGUCUGAUCUCGGAAGCUAAGCAUGGUCAGGCCUGGUUAGUACUUGGAUGGGAGACAGUUGGAAGGGAUCUUGGAGGCCUUCU
rnacentral:rRNA from 1 species